AGACAAAUUUAACCAAACUGGUCCACAAUCAUCAUUAGGGUAUGUAGUUUAAAAAAUGUGUCCGAUGACCCUGCAUGCGAACCAAGAUGGCCGACAUGGCUAAAAAAGUACAUAGGGUUAAAUACAGUUUUUGGCUAAAAUCUCAGAAACCAAAGCAUUUAAAGCAAAUCUGACGAAAUAAAUUUGUUCGUUAGGUCAAAGUCUAUCUGCCCU
rnacentral:lncRNA from 1 species